UUUACUUUAGUGUAAAAGAGCACAUAAAAUUUUGAUUUUUAAGGUAUUAUUAAGUAAUU
rnacentral:tRNA from 1 species